GUCAUAAAUCUCCUUUUUGUUGCAUUGUGGGGUUAUUUUCUUUCUGUAUAAUAGGCCACCACCUCUUCCCUCAUAUUCUCUGUAGUAGUAUGUAUUUUUUGCUUUUUUGUUUCCACCCACCAUUUCAUUGUCAUCUCAUCCUUCAACUCCCCAUCCACCCACACGCCCUCCCUUUCGCGGUCUUCUGUUAAACUCGGUGACUCUUGUAUGUAUCUUUGGUUCUUUUGUAUUAGAGGGAAAGAAGCAAUCUUGGUCAUAUAUAGAAACAGAGAGGUGAAAUCAUUUUGCUCAUAUUUGGAAAAUCAUAUCUAAUGCUUUUUUGCCCAUUUUGUAGGCGGUGUCACUGUAGAUCUGUUGCUUCACUUGUUUCUCUUUCAAAGGUUACUGAAGGACUAGGUGCGAGUCUCUGCACUCUGCAGUUCCUUCUUAGACUCACUUGUGGAUUGUGAAUAGAGUAUAACAUAGCCCUAAUGCAAGGGAAACGAAGUUCCAUCGGUUCAUUUUCAGAAACUUUAGAUUUUGGUUCUACUUCAACAUCGGGUGAUGGUAUAGAUCAGCAGAUGUGUUGGAAUAGUCGUGUACCAGAUUAUGUGGUAUCACCUAAUCAGAAUAAUAUUUCUUUUCUUAAUCCUGUGAGCCAUGAGAGACAGAACAUAAUGGGGUGGGGUUUCGGAGAACCGAGCUCCACAAAUCAUGCUGGUCAGAGUGAACGAAAAACAGAUCAUGGUUGGUCAUCUACAAUGAAUGCAUGUCCUGAACCUUCUCACUUCUCUGACGAACAUCAAUAUGGGUCGCCCAACAUUCUUUCAUUGAGUAAUGUAGAAGUAAAUUUGAACAGUGUUCAGAUGGCUAACAGCAGUAUAUUCUCUCAAGGUUCUAGUCCAACUACCCUUCCUCAUGAUAUGAACACAAAUUCAGGGUUUGAGGGGCACCAUGGUGAUGAUGACAGUGAAGAUGACUGUCAAAUAAUGGAAUGUACUCCAGCAUACAAGUCUGAUUUACCAGGAAAAGAGUGGAUGUCAUCUGCUACUACAUGUCAUACUUUUGCUGGGCCUUUUGGUACUAAUGGAUUCUUGAUAGAUGAAAAUGAUGGCAGGCCAGGCUCUUCGUUGGAUGGUCGUCGCUUAUCUUGCAAGAGAAAAGCACUUGAAGGACAUCUGGGCCAAUCUUCAGCAAGUGGAAGUAGAAAUUAUAUUCCACAUGCCGAAAACAGCUUAUGGCAUUCUCUACCUUCUCCACAUAGUAUGGGCACAGGUGCAAGUAUCUGUGCUCCAACAGAAGGGAGCGGAAGCAUUAAUUUGUCAGAGCAGCUUAACCCAAGACUUGGGCUUUCAAUGGGAGGAACCAUUUCAGAAAGUCCACUUCGUUUACCUGCUUCUGGAAUUGCCGAAAGUUCCCGUAAUACUUUCAGGCUGAGGGUUAAUAGCUCACAUCAACAAGAUACCAUUCCUAGUAACCUGUUUCCUGCUGUGGGUGAUGCUGGAAAUGUUAAUGUGUCAUCUGACUGGCACUCAUCGAGGGUCUUCCAUAAUAAUUCUUUGAACUUGAUGUCGAUGUCUGCAGCUGAUAAUGUAAAUCCUCAAAGCCAGGCCUCGGUGGUCCAUGUUCCUUCUCUGCAUCGAAGUUCACAGGCUAGGUGGGAUUUAGCACCUAACUCAAGAACUAGCAGUUCAUCAAGCUUUUAUGCAUCUGGAGAGAGAGACUCUGCACCAUAUCAAGAACCCCACUCAAGAAGUUUGUCAAGGAACAUUUCACAUCAUCCAAUGUUUAUACCUGUUACUGAUGCAAGAAAUCUGAACCAAAAUCCUGCCAACUGGAGUUUAGCUGGUGGUGGGAAUAUUUCCAUUGUUGGAAAUGUUGCAUCCACAUCUCGAAGUAGCUCGAGUUCACGCUCCCACUUGUCUUCUCCUUCUCGGGUUCAACACAGAAAUCCUCCACAAUAUUCCCGGAGACUGUCUGAAUAUGUCCGAAGGUCUUUGUUGUCUUCAGCAGAUGCUGAACCUGGAGGUCGUAGUGGUAAUAGUCCUUCGCUAUGUCUGAGUGCUGCCUCUCGGGUGUUGGAGCUUUCUGGCAAUCAUGGACAUCGUCAAUCAAGGUCAAGGUCCACAGCAUUGUCGGAGAGACAUCUUGAUGGUGGUAUAGGAGUUUCUCAUUCUUGGAGGACUUUGGCUGCUGCCAGUGAAGGAAGAAGCAGGCUAGUCUCUGAGGAAUCGUAGGGCAUGCAUCGCAAUCAAAUCCAAGGGUCACUACAAUAACAUCUCAAUGAACCUAAAUUUGUGACCCCAAAUAUAGCAGAUUGAGCUUUCUUACUUAUGUCCCUCUCAGGUUUUGCACGGAUAAGGGGAGAAGGCUUACAACUUGAGGUUAGAUUCUUGAGUAGGAUGAUGGCUUUAUAAGGUUACAGAUUUUCUGUUCUAUUGGAUUACAAGCUUCUCUAUCACCUACAUGGUCGGAGGCACAACAGAUGUUGCUACAAAGCCAAGAACCUUGGUUUUGGUUGCCAUGGCUAGACUGUACUUUGUGCUGAAAAGCUAAGGCUUCCUCUGAUGUUUUUGACUUUAUAUUUUUUUUCCAUCUUUAUUCUUUUUCAGCUGAGUCUUACGCGGUUUGUUUUUCCUUGUCUGGAGGAAUAUGAAGUAAUAAUGAACCAACAUGAUGUGUAAGACAGGCUAAUUUGAAGGAUUUGUUGCUAACAGUCAUUUACUUCAAACUUCUAUUUCUACGUUUCAAAAUGUGUUUUUGAAAGUCAGAUAUAUAAAUACUAUUUUGUAAACUAGAAAGCACGUGCAGAACUACCAACCUGUAUUAUGCUAUGCUCUUUACUUACAUGCCUAGAGCCUGCAUAAACAAGUGCUGUGUUACUGUGAAGGGAGCAAACAGCAAUAUAUCAUCAAGUUUUGCUCAGGAGAGGAAAUAAGUAAAACUAUUACUUUUUUUUGUUUAGAUCAAAAUUCAUUCUUCGGAUCCCUAUUAUUCACCCUGGAGAUAAAGAUCACAGUCAGGGCAUCAUUUUGCUCGUUAACUUAUUUUCCAUUUCAUUUGUAAUGAAAUUAGAGUCAUUUUCAUUGAUGAAGAGAGUGAAGGAGCUUUCUUCUCAGUCCUAUAUGUGCAGAUGAUAGAUUAGCUUAUCAAAAAAAUCACAUCUGGAAUUUAAUAUCCUUGUAUUCCAGGAUGUUAUGAUCCUUGAUCAGUCAGUCUUCUUUGGGAUGGCGGAUAUUCAUGAUCGCCAUAGGGAUAUGCGGGUUGAUGUUGAUAACAUGUCAUAUGAGGAGUUACUGGCACUUGAAGAGCGCAUUGGGAAUGUGUGCACUGGACUGGGCGAAGAAGCUAUUUUGAGCCAUUUGAAGCAACGCAGCUAUAUUUGUGUUAAAUCAGAAGAACCCAUCGAUGCAGAGCCAUGCUGUAUAUGUCAGGAAGAAUAUAAUGAUGGAGAGGAUCUUGGUACACUGGAGUGUGGCCAUGAUUUUCAUAGAGACUGCAUUAAACAAUGGCUCAAACACAAGAAUAUAUGCCCCAUUUGCAAAACAACGGGGCUGAAUACCUGAGGAAGGCAUUGAACCUUCUCUUAUUUAAGAAAGUCUUCUUGAUGUCCACCCAAGAAAAGUGGUUUCCGUGGCAUCAUUGGAGAAAGAUAUUUGUAUUUUUCUGUUUAUUGUAUUCUGAUAUUAAUCUGGUGGAUUAAAGAAUGACAUUAUUGCUCAUUUGGAAUUAACAGUUUCCCUACCAAUUUAUUGACACAAUUGGUAUUUAUUUGGUUCA